GACAGAGGUGCCGAGCGUUAGGCGGAAUCACUGGGCUUAAAGCGUGUGUAGGCGGACUUCUAAGUACCUUGUGAAAUCCCACGGUUCAACCGUGGAACUGCUUGGUAUACUGGUUGUCUUGAGCCACUUAGGGGCAGUCGGAACAGACGGUGGAGCGGUGAAAUGCGUAGAUAUCGUCUGGAACGCCAACGGUGAAAACAGACUGCUGGGAGUGUGCUGACGCUGAGACACGAAAGCCAGGGGAGCAAACGGG
rnacentral:rRNA from 1 species